ACAAGCGGUGGAUGAUGUGGAUAAUUCGAUGCAACGCGAAAACCUUACCUACCCUUGACAUGUCCGGAAUCCCGAAGAGAUUUGGGAGUCGCUCGCAAGAGAACCGGAACACAGGUGCUGCAUGGCUGUCGUCAGCUCGUGUCGUGAGAUGUUGGGUUAAGUCCCGCAACGAGCGCAACCCUUGUCAUUAGUUGCCAUCAUUUGGUUGGGCACUCUAAUGAGACUGCCGGUGACAAACCGGAGGAAGGUGGGGAUGACGUCAAGUCCUCAUGGCCCUUAUGGGUAGGGCUUCACACGUCAUACAAUGGUCGGUACAGAGGGUUGCCAACCCGCGAGGGGGAGCUAAUCCCACAAAGCCGAUCGUAGUCCGGAUCGCAGUCUGCAACUCGACUGCGUGAAGUCGGAAUCGCUAGUAAUCGUGGAUCAGCAUGUCACGGUGAAUACGUUCCCGGGUCUU
rnacentral:rRNA from 1 species